ACGAUGAACCUCCUUCGGGAGGGGAUUAGUGGCGAACGGGUGAGUAACACGUGGGCAAUCUGCCCUGCACUUCGGGACAAGCCCUGGAAACGGGGUCUAAUACCGGAUACUCACCGCCUUCCGCAUGGGGGGUGGUGGAAAGCUCCGGCGGUGCAGGAUGAGCCCGCGGCCUAUCAGCUUGUUGGUGGGGUAGUGGCCCACCAAGGCGACGACGGGUAGCCGGCCUGAGAGGGCGACCGGCCACACUGGGACUGAGACACGGCCCAGACUCCUACGGGAGGCAGCAGUGGGGAAUAUUGCACAAUGGGCGAAAGCCUGAUGCAGCGACGCCGCGUGAGGGAUGACGGCCUUCGGGUUGUAAACCUCUUUCAGCAGGGAAGAAGCGCAAGUGACGGUACCUGCAGAAGAAGCACCGGCUAACUACGUGCCAGCAGCCGCGGUAAUACGUAGGGUGCGAGCGUUGUCCGGAAUUAUUGGGCGUAAAGAGCUCGUAGGCGGCUUGUUGCGUCGAUUGUGAAAGCCCGGGGCUCAACCCCGGGUCUGCAGUCGAUACGGGCAGGCUUGAGUUCGGUAGGGGAGAUCGGAAUUCCUGGUGUAGCGGUGAAAUGCGCAGAUAUCAGGAGGAACACCGGUGGCGAAGGCGGAUCUCUGGGCCGAUACUGACGCUGAGGAGCGAAAGCGUGGGGAGCG
rnacentral:rRNA from 1 species